rnacentral:lncRNA from 1 species
UUGUGCUUGUCUAUCCUUGAUACUUCUUGGCUGGAGAAAGUUUUUCAACCUCCUAUGGCUUCUUUGAAGUGGACAAUAACUUCCUUGGAUCAGGACAGUAGGCGUGACUUUUCUCAGCAGCUGGUCUUGGCUUUGGUGUUGACAUUGAACUCCACUGAUUUUCUUGGUACUUAGGCCUUGUGAGAAUUUUGUUGCUGGCCCUGAGCUUCCUUACAAAGUCCUUAUACAUGUGUGCCUUAAGAUCUCCCCAAUCAAGUACUGGAUUAGAGUAGUAGGUCUGGGCAUCUUUUUGUUUCCACCAAGUGUAAGCCUUUCCAAUAAGCAUAUCAAGGGCAUAUGAUAGCUUCUCUUCCUUAGGGAUGCUCUUUG